rnacentral:rRNA from 1 species
GGUGAACGCUAGCGGCGUGCCUUAAGCAUGCAAGUCGGACGAGAAGCAAUUCUAGUGGCGGACGGGUGAGUAAUGCAUAGGAAUCUACCUUAAAGUGGGGAAUAACUAGCCGAAAGGUUAGCUAAUACCGCAUGUGAUCGCAAGAUCAAAGCCUUUAACUAGGCGCUUUAAGAUGAGCUUAUGUCCCAUCAGCUUGUUGGUAGGGUAAAAGCCUACCAAGGCUANGACGGGUAGCUGGGCUGAGAGGUCGGCCAGCCACAAUGGCACUGAGACACGGUCCAUACAUCUACGGAUGGCAGCAACUGGGAAUCUUUGGCAAUGGACGAAAGUCUGACCAAGCGACGCCGCGUGAAGGACGAAGGCC